rnacentral:rRNA from 1 species
CACGUAGGGGGCGAGCGUUGUCCGGAUUUAUUGGGCGUAAAGGGCUCGUAGGCGGCUCAGUAAGUCGGGUGUGAAACCUCCAGGCUCAACCUGGAGACGCCACUCGAUACUGCUGUGGCUAGAGUCCGGUAGGGGAGCAUGGAAUUCCUGGUGUAGCGGUGAAAUGCGCAGAUAUCAGGAGGAACACCAGUGGCGAAGGCGGUGCUCUGGGCCGGAACUGACGCUGAGGUGCGAAAGCGUGGGGAGCAAACAGG